rnacentral:rRNA from 1 species
UUNNGGUUGAUCCCGCCGGAGGCAACUGCUAUCGGGGUCCGCCUAAGCCAUGCGAGUCGACGCGGGCUUCCUUCCUCCGGGAGGAAGGUCAGGGCGGACGGCUCAGUAACACGUGGGUAAUCUACCCUCGGGUCGGGGAUAACCCCGGGAAACUGGGGCUAAUACCCGAUAGGGGGAGAGGUCUGGAAGGAUCCUCCCCCGAAAGCUCCGGCGCCCGAGGAUGAGCCUGCGGCCGAUUAAGUUGUUGGUGGUGUAACGGACCACCAAGCCUGCGAUCGGUACGGGCAGUGGGAGCUGUCGCCCGGAGAUGGGGGCUGAGACACGGCCCCAGGCCCUACGGGGCGCAGCAGGCGCGAAAACUCCGCAAUGCCCGCAAGGGCGACGGGGGGACCCCGAGUGCCCCUGCACUGCAGGGGCUUUUGCGGAGUGUAAACAGCUCCGCGAAUAAGGGCUGGGCAAGAACGGUGCCAGCCGCCGCGGUAACACCGGCAGCCCGAGUGGUGGCCGCUAUUAUUGGGCCUAAAGCGUUCGUAACCGGGUGGGUAAGUCCCUGUGGAAAUCCUCAGGCUCAACCUGAAGAAGUGCGGGGAUACUUGCCGCUUUGGGGCCGGGAGAAGCGGAGGGUACUCCAGGGGUAGCGGUGAAAUGCUGUAAUCCCUGGGGGAACACCAGUGGCGAAAGCGCUCCGCGAGAACGGGCCCGACGGUGAGGGACGAAAGCCAGGGGAGCGAACGGGAUUAGAUACCCGGGUAGUCCUGGCCGUAAACGCUGCCGACUAGGUGUUGCACGCUCUAAGGGGCGUGCAGUGCCAAAGCGAAGUUGAUAACCGGGCCGCCUGGGAAGUAUGCUCGCAGG